rnacentral:rRNA from 1 species
GACGAACGCUGGCGGCGUGCUUAACACAUGCAAGUCGAGCGGAAAGGCCCUGCGGGGUUGGCGAGCGGCGAACGGGAGAGUAACACGUGAGUAAGCGGCCCCAGACUUUGGGAUAAGCCUAGGAAACGGGGGCUAAUACCGGAAACGACACGGCGCCGCAGGGGGUCGGUGUGGGAAGUUCUUCGGUUGGGGAUGGGCUCGCGGCCGAUCAGCUUGUUGGUGGGGGGGUGGCCUACCAAGGCGACGACGGGUAGCCGGCCUGAGAGGGCGACCGGCCACACUGGGACUGAGAUACGGCCCAGACUCCUACGGGAGGCAGCAGUGGGGAAUAUUGCACAAUGGGCGGAAGCCUGAUGCAGCAACGCCGCGUGAGGGAUGACGGCCUUCGGGUUGUAAACCUCUUUCGGCAGGGACGAAGCGUGAGUGACGGUAACUGCAGAAGAAGCGCCGGCUAACUACGUG